UGGGGAAUCUUGCACAAUGGGGGCAACCCUGAUGCAGCGACGCCGCGUGAGCGAUGAAGCCCUUCGGGGUGUAAAGCUCUUUCGGCAGGGAAGAUUAUGACGGUACCUGCAGAAGCAGCUGCGGCUAACUACGUGCCAGCAGCCGCGGUAAUACGUAGGCAGCAAGCGUUGUUCGGAGUUACUGGGCGUAAAGGGUGUGUAGGCGGCCUUCUAAGUUUGGUGUGAAAUCUCCUGGCUCAACCGGGAGGGUGCGCCGAAGACUGGGGGGCUAGAGUGUGGGAUGGGAGAGUAGAAUUCCCGGUGUAGCGGUGAAAUGCGUAGAUAUCGGGAGGAAUACCUGUGGUGUAGACGGCUCUCUGGACCAUAACUGACGCUGAGACACGAAAGCGUGGGUAGCAAACAG
rnacentral:rRNA from 1 species